CGCUAGAUUUGUCGGUUAAAAACGGCAGGAAUCUAGGGAUAGCAUCGACUGUGGGAUAGGUUUGAGAUAGAUGCAAGGGUGGCGAAGCUAGUGCCCUUAACCAAACGACUGGCGGGU
rnacentral:sRNA from 12 species